GACGAACGCUGGCGGCGCGCUUAACACAUGCAAGUCGAACGGAAAGGCCUGCUUUCCCUUGUGGAUUGCGGGUACUCGAGUGGCGAACGGGUGAGUAACACGUGAGUGAUCUGCCCCCAACUUGGGUAUAAGCCUGGGAAACUGGGUCUAAUUCCCGAUAGGACUGCAGGGUGGUGCCUGUGGUGGAAAACGAUUUUCUAGUGGUUGGGGAUGAGCUCGCGGCCUAUCAGCUUGUUGGUGGGGUAAUGGCCUACCAAGGCGGCGACGGGGAGCCGGCCUGAGAGGGUGGACGGCCACAUUGGGCCUGAGAUACGGCCCAGACUCCUACGGGAGGCAGCAGUGGGGAAUAUUGCCCAAUGGGCGGAAGCCUGAUGCAGCGACGCCGCGUGGGGGAUGACGGCCUUCGGGUUGUAAACUCCUUUCGACCGCGAGGAAGCCACCUGGUUGGAAGGGUGGUGACGGUAGUGGUAGAAGAAGCACCGGCUAACUACGUG
rnacentral:rRNA from 1 species